rnacentral:rRNA from 1 species
UGUGAGGUUAAGCGACUAAGCGUACACGGUGGAUGCCCUGGCAGUCAGAGGCGAUGAAGGGCGUGCUAAUCUGCGAUAAGCGCCGGUAAGGUGAUAUGAACCGUUAUAACCGGCGAUACCCGAAUGGGGAAACCCAGUGUGACUCGUCACACUAUCAUUAACUGAAUCCAUAGGUUAAUGAGGCGAACCGGGGGAACUGAAACAUCUAAGUACCCCGAGGAAAAGAAAUCAACCGAGAUUCCCCCAGUAGCGGCGAGCGAACGGGGAGGAGCCCAGAGCCUGAAUCAGCAUGUGUGUUAGUGGAAGCGUCUGGAAAGGCGCGCGAUACAGGGUGACAGCCCCGUACACAAAAGCGCAUGUGCUGUGAGCUCGAUGAGUAGGGCGGGACACGGUGUAUCCUGUCUGAAUAUGGGGGGACCAUCCUCCAAGGCUAAAUACUCCUGACUGACCGAUAGUGAACCAGUACCGUGAGGGAAAGGCGAAAAGAACCCCGGCGAGGGGAGUGAAAAAGAACCUGAAACCGUGUACGUACAAGCAGUGGGAGC